rnacentral:rRNA from 1 species
GACGAACGCUGGCGGCGUGCAUAACACAUGCAAGUCAAGGGGGUCGAGUAGCAAUACUGGCAACCGGCGAACGGGUGCGUAACACGUAAGCGACCUACCUCAAUGUGGGGCGAUAGCCGGCCUAACGGCCGGGUAAGUUCCGCAUGUGAUCUUGGAGGGGCGAUCUCUCCGGGAUGAAACCAGUAAUGGGCAUUGAGAGGGGCGUUGCGGCCUAUCAGCUUGUUGGUGAGGUAACGGCUCACCAAGGCUACGACGGGUAGCUGGUCUGAGAGGACGACCAGUCACACUGGAACUGAGACACGGUCCAGACACCUACGGGUGGCAGCAGUCGAG